AUUUUUUACUGUAUUAACAUAAGCAUCUGAAAUUUCAGGAUUAGUUUUUCUGGCUUCAUACUUGUCCUAUUAACUGGAAGCUUUUUUCCCUAUCGGUUUAGACAUGAAGGAAAUUGAGCAAAAAUAUGGAAAAUAAGAAGAGACCGCCCUUGAACCGAACUACCACGGUUCAUUACAACAAUUCCUUGAAAAGACCAAAAUUCUUGUCAAGUUCCCUUCAGGCAGAUAAGAAGAUAAGAGAUGAUGAUAGGAAGUUGGGAUAACUGGUCCAAAUCAAAUCAAGUGGCAGUGUGCUUCCAGAAGUUUAAGAGGAAACACUAACAUUGGCCGUGCAGUUCGCUUGGUGUUCUAGCUGAAGUCAUCAACAAUCAAAUCUAUAGUUGAUAUAGAAAGUAUUGUACUCAUCUUCUGGUUUCACAGUGCAGGCAUGUAAGAACUGGUGUUUAUAUCACUAUCUAUAUCAUUCAAUGGAGAUUAUUUCC